rnacentral:rRNA from 1 species
CCUACGGGAGGCAGCAGUGAGGAAUAUUGGUCAAUGGGCGCGAGCCUGAACCAGCCAAGUAGCGUGAAGGAUGACUGCCCUUCGGGUUGUAAACUUCUUUUAUAAAGGAAUAAAGUGAGACACGUGUGCCUUUUUGUAUGUACUUUAUGAAUAAGGGUCGGCUAACUCCGUGCCAGCAGCCGCGGUAAUCCGGAGGAUCCGAGCGUUAUCCGGAUGUAUUGGGUUUAAAGGGAGCGUAGAUGGGUUGGUAAGUCAGUUGUGAAAGGUUGCGGCUCAACCGUAAAAUUGCAAUUGAUACUGGCAGCCUGGAGUACAGUUGAGGUAGGCGGAAUUCGUGGUGUAGCAGUGAAAUGCUUAGAUAUCACGAAGAACUCUGAUUGCGAAGGCAGCCUACUAAACUGCCACUGACAUUGAUGCUCGAAAGUGUGGGUAUCAAACAGGAUUAGAUACCCGAGUAGUC